rnacentral:rRNA from 1 species
CCUACGGGGUGCAGCAGUGGGGAAUAUUGGGCACUGGGCGCAAGCCUGACCCAGCAACGCCGCGUGCGCGAUGAAGGUCUUCUGAUUGUAAAGCUCUGUCGCAGGGGACGAAGUAUGACGGUACCCUGUAAGAAAGCCCCGGCAAACUACGUGCCAGCAGCCGCGGUAAUACGUAGGGGGCUAGCGUUGUCCGGCAUUACUGGGCGUAAAGGGAGUGUAGACGGCUUGUCAAGUUAAGUGUGAAAGCCUGCGGCUUAACCUUAGAAUUGCACUUAAAACUGACUCGCUAGAGUGCAGGAGAGGUGAGUGGAAUUCAUAGUGGAGCGGUGGAAUGCGUAGAUAUUAGGAGGAACACCAGAGGCGAAGGCGGCUCACUGGACUGUAACUGACGUUGAGGCUCGAAAGCGUGGGGAGCAAACAGGAUUAGAUACCCCGGUAGUC